rnacentral:lncRNA from 10 species
AUAACAAAUUAAAAACAUUAAAGAACUUUCCCAGAAAAACAAAACAACAGCAAAAGAAUGCAAGAGAAAAAGUGGAGAUGCUGAAUAAAGACAAACGAUGCUUUCUUCUAUAAAGAGAGGAGUAAAUGAGGCAGUAGCUGGAAAUGAGUGAUAAAGCUAAAAUGAGACUCCCAGGGUAUGGCCCUCGUGCAAUAUGGCUGAUGUC